GUGGAACACAGUCUCCCUUCGGGGCACGGUCACAGGUGGUGCAUGGCUGUCGUCAGCUCGUGUCGUGAGAUGUUGGGUUAAGUCCCGCAACGAGCGCAACCCUCGUCGUAUGUUGCCAGCAUUAAGUUGGGGACUCAUGCGAGACUGCCGGUGACAAACCGGAGGAAGGCGGGGAUGACGUCAAGUCAUCAUGCCCCUUAUGUCCAGGGCUACACACGUGCUACAUUGGCGCAUACAAACGGCUGCGAUACCGCGAGGUGGAGCGAAUCCGAAAAAGUGCGUCUCGGCUCGGAUUGGAGGCUGAAACUCGCCUCCAUGAAGGCGGAGUUGCUAGUAAUCGUGAAUCAGCGAUGUCACGGUGAAUACGUUCCCGGGUCUUGUACACACCGCCCGUCACACCAUGGGAGUUGAUUGCACCAGAAGUAGGUAGCCUAACCGCAAGGAGGGCGCUUACCACGGUGUGGUCAAUGACUGGGGUGAAGUCGUAACAAGGUAGCCGU
rnacentral:rRNA from 1 species